AUGCUCGCUCAGGGCAUCAUCCGAGCGAGUUGUUCCGCAUUCUCGUCCCCGGUACUGCUGGUCCGCAAGGCCGACGGGUCCUGGCGCUUCUGCAUCGACUACCGCGCCCUAAACGCCAUUACUGUCAAGAAUGCGUUUCCGAUCCCGGUGGUGGACGAACUCCUCGACGAGCUCCGGCACGCUCGUUUCUUCACCAAGCUCGACUUGCGCUCCGGCUACCACCAGGUGCGGAUGCGUGCGGAGGACAUCCCGAAGACCGCCUUCCGUACUCAUGACGGCCUCUACGAGUUCCUGGUGAUGCCGUUCGACCUCUGCAACGCGCCGGCAACGUUCCAGGCCCUCAUGAACGAUCUGCUGCGGCCGUACCUACGCCGUUUUGUUCUCAUCUUCUUUGACGACAUCCUCAUUUUCAGCGAGACAUGGGCUGACCAUCUCCGACAUGUGCGCAUCGUCUUCACCGUCCUGCACCAGCACCGGCUCUUCGUCAAGCGAUCCAAAUGCGCAUUCGCCGUCGAGUCGAUCUCAUACCUGGGUCACACCAUCUCCGCUGCAGGAGUGGCCAUGGAUCUGGAAAAGGUGCAGGCAGUGGCCGAAUGGCCGCAACCACGCUCGGCGCGCGCGGUUCGGGGGUUUCUCGGCCUUGCGGGGUACUACCGCAAGUUUGUCAAGGAGUUUGGCGUGGUUGCCGCGCCACUAACGGCCCUCCUUCGCAAGGAUGGUUUCUCCUGGUCGCCGGAGGCGGCAGCAGCUUUUCACGCCCUCAAGACGACAGUCACCACGGCUCCCGUCCUCGCGUUACCGGAUUUCACGCGGCCGUUCAUCGUCGAGUGUGACGCCUCGACAUACGGCUUCGGGCCGUCCUUCUUCAGGACCAACACCCGGUGGCUUUCUUUAGCCGGCCAGCCGCGCCACGUCACCGUUCCCUGGCAGCAUAUGAACGGGAACUCAUCGGCCUGGUGCUCGCGAUUCGUCACUGGAGACCGUACCUCUGGGGGCACCAAUUUGCGGUAA
rnacentral:rRNA from 1 species